AUUGAACGCUGGCGGCAGGCUUAACACAUGCAAGUCGAGCGAGCGGCGGACGGGUGAGUAAUGUCUGGGAAACUGUCUGAUGGCGGGGGAUAACUACUGGAAACGGUAGCUAAUACCGCAUACCAUCAGAUGUGCCCAGAUGGGCGUGGCUAGUAUGUGGGGUAAUGGCUCACCUGGGCGACGAGCCCUAGCUGGUCUGAGAGGAUGACCAUCCACACUGGAACUGAGAAACGGUCCAGACUCCUACGGUAGGCAGCAGUGGGGACUAUUGCACAAUGGGCGCAAGCCUGAUGCAGCCAUGCCGCGUGUGUGAAGAAGGCCUUCGGGUUUUAAAGCACUUUCAGCGAGGAGGCGUUACUCGCAGAAGAAGCACCGGCUAACUCCGUGCCAGCAGCCGCGGUAAUUC
rnacentral:rRNA from 1 species